CUGGUCCAAAGGUAGUGAGUUAUUUCAACUGAUUGCUCACAAAGACUGAACUUGUUCUCACUACUGCACUUGACCUG
ensembl:misc_RNA Y_RNA Y RNA